rnacentral:rRNA from 1 species
UUCCUACGGGUGGCAGCAGUAGGGAAUAUUGCACAAUGAGCGAAAGCUUGAUGCAGCAACGCCGCGUGCGCGAUGACGGCCUUCGGGUUGUAAAGCGCUUUUCGGGGAGAUGAGGAAGGACAGUAUCCCCGGAAUAAGUCUCGGCUAACUACGUGCCAGCAGCCGCGGUAACACGUAGGAGGCAAGCGUUAUCCGAAUUUACUGGGCGUAAAGCGCGUGCAGGCGGUUCGGUAAGUUGGAUGUGAAAUCUCCCGGCUCAACUGGGAGAGGACGUUCAAUACUGUCGGACUUGAGGACGAUAGAGGGAGGUGGAAUUCCCGGUGUAGUGGUGAAAUGCGUAGAUAUCGGGAGGAACACCAGUGGCGAAAGCGGCCUCCUGGAUCGUUCCUGACGCUCAGACGCGAAAGCUAGGGGAGCGAACGGGAUUAGAUACCCCGGUAGUCA